UAAACUCCUCAGGGAGCGUUUUCUCUUUAUUGACGAGAUGACUCAACAAUAUUUAUUGACAUUUAUCUGGAUAUCGCCAUUAAUUGUGCAAUUGUAGACAAAUUAAAAAUAUGAUUAAAGAGUGUGGUGUUUAGUUUCAUAAAUCAGUACACAGCAACAUUGGCGCAGUGAUACUUAUGUAAUGCGGUCUGAACAGUGGGGUUACCGGGGUAUUUUAUCACGCCUUAGAACGCGUUUCAACCGAUCAGAAUGAAGAACCAGAACGGGCCGUUUUAUAACAUGUUAUAAUAAAUUAUCUGUGGGGUAUUUAGAGCUAAAAUUUCACAUAUAGACUCUGGGGACACCAAAGAUUUAUUUGACAAACACGUCUUCUAAAAUGUUCCCUUUAAUUGUGUUUAUAGUGUGAAUUAUAACAUGUGCUUAUGUUUCGUGUGUAAAAAAUGCAGUAGUUUUCACACAAUUUACUAGAAAGUUAGAGUUUGAAAAAUGGGAUCACACUCUUAAGAAAAAUGGUUCUGAAAUGAUGGUAAAGGUUCUAUAUAGAACCAUAGCUUACUGAAGAACCCUUUUUUGUUGAAAUGGUUCUUUGUCUUGGCAAAAGGGUUCUUUAAUUCCCUCCUUUUUUGAUUUUAAAUUUAGUCAGUUAUUUUCAAGCUGCCUCCUGAUUAUUUUCACCUGUAAAAGCCCUGAAUCAUCAGUCCUGCUGAACCGCCUGCAGACUAACAACACAAACAGGUAAACUUUAUACUGUAAGCUUCAUUUCCUUUAAAGCAGAGUUUUUGUAUGUGAGGUAAUCUUGCUGGAAGUGCAGUGCGUAUGACUGCUUGAUAUGAGAGACACAUCCUGUUUUUAAAGGUCAACUUUAUACUGUAAGCUUCAUUCCAUCUAUAACAGGUAAGCUUCAUACUGUUUUAAAUGAUAGGAGACUCUGCU